AGUUCGCCAGGCAGGAAGUGCAGUAGCAGGACUCUGGCUUUCCGGAGAGUCUCUGUUUUUCCUUUUUUUUUUUCCCUUUUCGCCCAAUAAAUACCAUUUUUCUCACCCUUCAAAGUGUCUGCAAGCCUAAUAUUUCAUGGAUGUUUGACAAGGACCCCGUCUUUAGCUGAACUAAGGAGAAAGUCCUGCAACACACACAUGGAGCUCAGCAAACGGAGGAUGUAGUAGACGCACAUGAAAUUUGGUGCUGUGACUCGGAUUGGGGGACCUCCCUUGGGAGAUCAAUCCCCUGUCCUCCUGUUCUUUGCUCCAUGGGAAAGAUCCACCUACGACCUCAGGUCCUCAGACCGACCAGCCCAAGGAACAUCUCACCAAUUUUAAAUCGGGACCCCACUGGAAAUCGGACUGUUCAACUCACCUGGCAGCCACUCACAGAGCCCGUGGAACUCUGGCCCAAGGCUCUCUGACUCCUUCUCGGCUUAGCGGCUAAAGACUGACACUGCCCGAUCGCCUCGGAAGCCCCGUAGACCAUCACGGACGCCGAGCUUUAGAUGAAGAAACUGAGGUCCAGAGAAGUUAAACGACCUUCCUAAGAUUACACAGCUUAGUAAGUGGCAGAACCACAGCUGGAAGCCAGGUCCUUCCUCACGCAAGUCCUGGCUCAUUCAUUCCUCUUCCAAAGACUUGCUGAGCACCUUCUAGGUGCCAGAUGCGGUGCUGGCUCCUGGGGACAUGGGAGUGAACAGGCCAGGCGUGGCCCUGAACCAUCAAAUAGACAACCACAGAAAUAACAACAACAAAGACAAAACCGGGCCCUUCCACACAGUAGCUGGAACACAAAGGAAGAUCAGCCAAGCCUCAACAUAAUCUCAUAAAAAUUCUUCAAAUAUCCCAUUGUUAUGGAUUCAUACAUCAGGAAAGCAGAUGCCAAGAACCUGAACACCUUCUACUGGUAACAUAUAUUUUGGCGAGCCAGCCUGGAGACAAGACCACUAUGGGCAACUUCCUGUCUAUUCUACCUGGUGUCACUGUGGACAACUUCCUAUCUAUUCCACCCGAUUCACCGCUUGGCUACAUCCUCCACCAUUGGGAUGAAUUUGACCCUAACAAUCUAAAGAAAAGGCAUAUGAUUUUUUACUGCAAUAUUGUUUGACACAAUUAUGAGCUGCCCAAUCCGGAACAAUGGGCAGUCAAUGGUAGCCUUAAUUAUGAUACCAUCCUGUAUCUAGACCUAUUUUACAAGAGGCAGGGCAAAUGGUCAGAAGUCCCACAUAUACAGGCCUACAUGACCCUAUACGAAGACCUAAGAAUCUAGGAAACUCCCAGAACCCAUCCCCCGAAGGAAAGUUCUGGGGCAGAACUAGAUAUUAUAGAUGAACCCCCUUUUACAAGGGAUACCUGUCUCUCAGAGUGAGCAGUGACUGUCCCCAUAUAACCCCUCACCAAGUGCUCCUGAGGCUGAAACCCAGGGGCAAACAUGGGGAACCCUACUAAGUCCCCCUCACACUUGGAGGGGAACACUGUAUUCAACUCUCUAUCCAGCCCUGCUACUCUCAGAGAAAUAGCAGGGGCUGAGGGGCCAAUCCUAGUGUGGGUCCCCUUCUCUAUGAUUGAUAUACAACAAUGUAAGGAAAAGCUAGGAAGCUAUUCUGAGGAUUCCGGGAAGUUUGCAGAUGGGUUCCAAACUUUGACCUUAGCCUUUGAUCUCUCAUGGAGAGACGUUCAAUUCACUCUAGCAACCUGUUGCACCUCCUCGGAAAAGGAACGAAUCUUUGAGGCUGCCCUCCGAGAAGUGGACGAAUUAUUCACCCAAAACCGUAAAGGCAGUCACCCAGGCCCAGCCACAGUUCCCACUACGCAUCCUAAUUGAGACCAAGACACCCCCGCAGGAAGGAACAACUGGGCUAAAUUUCUUGAGGCUCUUGGAGGAAUGAGAAAGGGAAUAACUAAGGCAGUAAAUUAUGAUAAAGUAAGGCAGAUUACACAAGGCAGGGAGGAAAACCCAGCUGUGUUUUACGGCAGGCUGCGGGAAGCCUUUAAAAAAUAUAUACUAAUUUGGUCCCUUCCUCUCCUGAAGGCAAGUUAUUAAUGGCACAACGUUUCAUUAGCCAAUCCACACCAGACAUUAGACGUAAGCUCCAAAAGCUACACAUGGGGCCACAAACUAACCAAAAUCAGCUUCUUGGUACUGCCUUCAUGGUGUAUAACAAUCGUGACCUGGAGGAAGGAGAAGGGAAACAGAGUAAAGAAAAACGGCAAGCCAAAAUUAUGUUAGCCAUCACUGGUGAUGCCCUAAAUGCACAAAGAUUGUCCAAGGGAAACUCAAAGGGCCAUAAGGAUAAUGCCAGCAAAGGCUCUUGCUUCAAAUGCAAUAAAAGUGCGAUUGGGCACAGGAAUCCACUAAGCCCCCGCCAGUCCCCUGCCGUCAAUGUAAAAGCACCAGUUGUGGCUCCUGGCCCUGGAGAAUUGACUGUCCCUGCUCCCACCAAGGGGCUCAGUCAGUCAAAACUCUGGCAGUGCACAAGGAGGAAUCAGAUGAAGACUGAAGGGGCCUGGGGCCUUCCUCACUGCCCCGUCUAGGAACAUUGUAAUUACUACUGAGGAACCCUGGGUAACUCUGGACAUCAUGGCCACCCAAAUUCAGUUUUUAUGUGAUACCAAGGUGAAUUAUUCUGUACAACUGCUUAUGCAGGAAAACUUUCCUCCCGGUCCAUGAGUGAUAUUGGAUGGAAGGGAAGCCACAAACAAGAUUCUUACUCCUCCUUUGGUUUGUCAAUUUGAGAAACAAAUCUUCCAACAGGAAUUUUUAGUAGUACCAAGCUGCCCAAUUCCCCUGUGGGAAAGAGAUAUUAUGGUGAAAAUAGUGACACUACUGCAAUUUAAGCAAUAUUAGCAGGUGAAACUGCUAAUAGUAAGAAAUAAGGCAAUGUCCCAGACCAUGUCAAUAAACAGGUUAACCCACUGGCAUGGUAUACUGGAAACCCAGGGAAGGCUAAAACAGCAGUGCCAGUCAAAAUACAGCUUAAAGACCCCAGCCAUUUUCCCAAUGGAAAACAAUACCCAGUUGAACAGGAAGCAAGCAAAGGUCUAGCUCCCAUAGUUGAGAUAUUACUUACCCAUGGACUCUUAAAACCCUGCAAUUCUCCCUGCAAUACCCCCAUCUUACCUGUUCUCAAGCCUGGGGGGAAUACCAGCUAGUACAGAACCUCAGAAUAAUGAAUGAGGCUGUUAUCCCCGUCCACCCAUUGGUGGCAGAUCCAUAUGCCCUCCUGGCUCAGGUGCCAGGGCAUGCAAAAUGGUUCUCAGUCCUAGACCUUUCUUCUCCAUUCCUCUGGCCCCGAGCCCCCCAGUACCUUUUUGCUUUCGAAUGGGAAAAUCCUAAUACCAGAUAAAAACAAUACACUUGGACAGUGCUUCCUCAGGGCUUUCGGGAUAGCCCCCACUUCUUUGCCUGAGCAUUAGAGCGGGAUCUGAGGGAUUUCAAGUUAGAAAAUGGAGGUAUUCUUCAGUAUGGGGAUGACCUUGUGUGUAGCCCAACCUAGGAGGUUUCUGACCAAAAUACUAUAAAAACUUUGAAUUUCCUGGCAGACAGAGGAUACAAAGUGUCCAAAAAGAAGGCUCAGAUUACCCUCCAAUGGGUCCACUAUUUAGGAUAUGUCUUAACACCCGGAACCCGGCAAAUAUCCCCAGAAGGAGUGCAAGCUAUAUGUGGUUUGGCCGCGUGCACCACCCCCAGCCCCCACCCUGACCCACCUCCAAGCAGCAGCUUUGUUCCUUUUUGGGGAUGGCCGGGCUUUGGAGAAUAUGAGUACCAAAUUUUGGGCUCAUAGCAAAGCCCCUAUAUGAAGCAACAAGGGGGCCUGAAAAUGAGCUAAUGGAAUGGACCCCGGAAAUGAGGAAAGCCUUUGCCAAGUUAAAACAGGUUCUCACCCAGGCUCCUGCUCUUGGUAUCCCAGACCUAAUUAAGGCCUUCUCCUUGUAUGUAGCAGAGAAGAGGGGCAUAGCUGUGGGAGUGCUAGCCCAGAAAUUAGGAUCAGAACCCAGACCAACCGCCUACUUCUCAAAAAAGUUGGACGGAGUGGCCUCAGGAUGGCCAAGUUGCCUGCGGGCAAUAGCAGCCACUGCUGUUAGUGGAGGAAGCCACUAAAAUCACCCUAGGGCAACCACUGGAAGUUCUAACGCUCCAUCAGGUAAAGUUAGUCUUAGAAAUAAAGGGACACAUCUGGAUGACAGGGGAAAUGUUAACUAAAUACCAGCCCAUGCUCCUAGACAAUCCAGAUAUAACUCUUAAAACCUGCAACACUUUAAAUCCAGCUUCAUUGCUGCCCACAGGCCCAAUAAUUGAUCAUUCCUGUGAGCAGGUCAUUGCACAUACAUAUGUUAGCCAGCCUGAUUUAAAAGAUGAGGCUCUCCCAGAUUCUGAAGCUGACCGGCUCACAGACGGCAGUAGUUCUUUGUCGAAUGGGGAGCACAGAGCUGGAUAUGCAGCAGUAAAUCAUGACACAAUUAUUGAAGCCCAGCCAGUGCCCCCUGGCACAUCAGCACAAAAGGCUAAAAUCAUUGAUCUUACUCAAGCAUUAAUGUUGGGACAAGGGAAAAAACUUAACAUCUAUACAGAUUCUAAAUAUGCAUUCCUUGUGGUUCAUGCUCAUACCGCCAUCAGGAAAGAAAGGGGAUUACUUACUAGCAAGCACUCCCCUAUAGAGCAUGGACCUGAAAUUCUGCAGCUAUUGAAGGCAAUACACCUGCCAAAGGCCAUAGCUAUCAUUCAUUGUAGGGGGCAUCAAAGGGACUUAACCCCUAUAGCACAAGGGAAUGGAAAGGCUGACGGAAGCCAAAGCAAAAGCCCUCAGCGUGCAAUCCCAACAGAUCCUAGCACUGCUUCCUUUCUACAAUUCCCCAGUAGAACCCAAAUACACACCACAGGAAGAACAGCUAAUAAAAAAAGCAAGGGAGACAAAAACAAGGAUCCUGGUGGCAUAUGGAGCCAAAAAUAUAUCUCCCUCAGGCAGCCCAGUGGAGAGUUAUAAAAGCCCUGCAUGACUCUUUCCAUGUGGGGAGGGAUGCGGCUCUGGCCAUGGUAAACAAGUUCUUUACUGGGUUUAACUCAGCUUCAAUGGCUAAGCAGGUCUGUCAAGCCUGCUCACUGUGUGCAUUUAACAAUCCAGGCAUCAAAAUGCCCCCUCUAAUAAAACCAGUCCAAAGGAGGGGAACUUAUCCAGGGGAAGACUGGCAGUUAGACGUCAUCCAUAUGCCAGCUUGCAGAGGAUACAAGCUUUUGUUAAUACUAAUAGAUACUUUUAGGUUGGGUCAAAGGUUACCCCAGAAAAGGCUAAUGAGGUUCUAAGGUCCUCUUAAAAGAAAUAAUUCCCCAGUUUGGGUUACCUCAGGGUCUCCAAAGUGAUAAUGGCUAAUCCUUUAUCUCCCAAAUAACUCAAGGGGUUGCUAAGGCUCUUGGAAUAAAAUACUAUUUACAUUCAGCCUGGAGGCCCCAAUCCUCUGGAAAAGUGGAAAGGGUUAACCAAACUCUAAAAUAAGCACUAGCUAAACUAUGUCAGGAAACAUCAGAAACUUGGGUUAGCUUAUUGCUCACAGCCCUUUUAAGAAUUUGUAAUACCCCUAGCUCAAAAAUUAACAGAAGCCCAUAUAAAAUGUUAUACAGAAGGCCAUUCUUAACUAAUGAUUUAAUUAUUGACCCAGAAAGAGUUGGUGUAAUUAAAUACCUAGUCAACCCAGAACAAUUCCAGCGGGUUUACAAGAGUUUGGAAUUCAAAGGCUCCUCACACUUGGAACUAACCAGCAACCCAAAAUCAGGCCAGGAGAUAGGGUACUUGUUAAAACAUGGAAUGAGGGAUCACCUGCCCAACAAUUACAACCCCAAUAGAAGGGACUUUUUUCAGUAAUACUGGCCACGUCUUCUGUGGUCAAAGUACUAGUAUUAGAUAGCUGGAUACAUCUUUCAAGGAUCAAACCAUCAAUACCAGAAGCUCCAGACCAGGAACCUGAAGUUCCCAUCAGCCAGUACACCUGUGAACCAGUGGAGGACCUGAAGUACCUGUUUAAAAGAUAGCCAAAAGAUAAGUAAAUGCCUACCAACUUUCUUUGGUGUCUUUGUUGCAUAGUUACUGUGGGCUGGAAAAUAGUAGCCAUUUUUAUCUUUGCAGUUUAAUUGCCUUCUUCCAAAUAGAUAAAAAUCACUUCCUUUGUAAUAAUUAAACAGAAUUUAAAAAAUACAUUUCUAUGACAAAUAUUCCUGAUGGCAUAAGUAUCCACCCCAAGGUUCCCAUUAAAUCUUUUAACCUAAAGUAUUUCCUCUCACCUAGAGAUCAUCGAGCUGUGUGACAAGGGUGCCAGCCACUCCAGGUGAAGACACCACCCCAGGCCAUCAAGGAUCUUCCCUACCUUCACUAAACAGAGCAGGGUGAAAGUUGUGUGAUCCCCAAUAGGUAGGGACUACACCCCAAGUCAGCAGGAAGCAGUUACAGAAGAAAGACCAUUGGUCCCUCUGCUUCCCAUAAAGAUUUAUGGGGAUCACAGCUUUCACGGGGGAGAUGAGGCAAGAGAAUAGGGCAUGCAGGCAGGGUACUUGAGGCCAAUCCACGCUGACUUCCUAGAACUGAAUUAAAUGAAAGCUCCUCAGCAAUGACAGGAAUGUGAAUGGCUUUGUAACUUCUUCCUCUCCAUUAAUGCUAUUUCCACUUUGUAACUUCACUUUCAUCCUCUCCAUUUACAUAGAUCACACACCAAGUAACAUCCUCUCCAUUUACAGUAGGGCGCAUUCCGAGUCAAUGACUCUGACUGCACUUCGUUCUCCUCAUUUACAUAGAACAUUCGCCAAGUAACCAAUGGGAAACCUCUAGAGUAUUGAAACUCCAGAAAAUUCCGUAAGUGGGGCUCUUGAGCGUCUACACUCGGGUCGCUCCCACACUGUGGCGUGUACUUUUAUUCUCAAUAAAUUCCCGCUUUUGCUUUCCUCGUUC
rnacentral:lncRNA from 1 species